rnacentral:rRNA from 1 species
CCUACGGGGCGCAGCAGUGGGGAAUAUUGGGCAAUGGGCGCAAGCCUGACCCAGCAACGCCGCGUGAAGGAAGAAGGCUUUCGGGUUGUAAACUUCUUUUCUCAGGGACGAAGCAAGUGACGGUACCUGAGGAAUAAGCCACGGCUAACUACGUGCCAGCAGCCGCGGUAAUACGUAGGUGGCAAGCGUUAUCCGGAUUUACUGGGUGUAAAGGGCGUGUAGGCGGGAAAGCAAGUCAGAUGUGAAAACCAUGGGCUCAACUCCGGGACUGCUUUUGAAACUGUGUUGCUAGAUUGCAGGAGAGG